CUGCCUACGGGGCGCAGCAGUGAGGAAUAUUGGUCAAUGGGAGAGAUCCUGAACCAGCCAAGCCGCGUGAGGGAAGACGGCCCUAUGGGUUGUAAACCUCUUUUGUCGGAGAACAAAACCCGGGACGAGUCCCGGACUGCGUGUAUCCGAAGAAAAAGCAUCGGCUAACUCCGUGCCAGCAGCCGCGGUAAUACGUAGGGGGCAAGCGUUAUCCGGAAUUACUGGGUGUAAAGGGAGCGUAGACGGCUGUGCAAGUCUGGAGUGAAAGGCGGGGGCCCAACCCCCGGACUGCUCUGGGAACCGUA
rnacentral:rRNA from 1 species